GACGAACGCUGGCGGCGUGCCUAACACAUGCAAGUCGAACGAAGCUCUCUGAACGUGCGACUUCGGUCAAGCGGAAGGGAUGACUUAGUGGCGAACGGGUGAGUAACGCGUGAGGAACCUGCCUUUCAGAGGGGGACCAACAGUUGGAAACGACUGCUAAUACCGCAUAUCUUUUUGAACCGCAUGGUUCUUAAACGAAAGACGGCUUCGGCUGUCGCUCUUAGAUGAUCCCGCGGCGUAUUAGUUAGUUGGUGGGGUAAAGGCCUACCAAGACCAUGAUACCGUAGCCGACCUGAGAGGGUGAUCGGCCAACACUUGGGACUGAGACACGGCCCAGACUCCUACGGGA
rnacentral:rRNA from 1 species